GGUGGCUCAAUGGUAGAGCACUUGCUUUGCAUGCAUGAGGCCCUGGGUUCAAUUCCUCAGCACCA
rnacentral:tRNA from 1 species